UAAAGAUGCUUGUUAUAGGAAAUAAGUGUAACCAAGGUUUUUUUUUAUUUUAGAGAAAAUCCAGAAAGAACCUUUGACUUGGUGUUGAAAGUGAAAUGUCAUGCCUCUGAAAAAGAAGAUCCUGUGGUGUUGUGGAAAUUCCCUGAGGACUUUGGAGAUCAGGUUUGGACAAUAUAAUUUUAAAAAGACAUUGAAAUUAGAGUACCAUGAUUAUUGUUACUA
rnacentral:lncRNA from 1 species